UAACUCUUUUUUUCCCUUAAACCAUAAAAACUUUCGCCUUUUUUAAAGAUUUCCCUGGAGGGGAACAACCCCAAUGAGUCUUACUCAAUUUUUUUAUAGCCCCCUUUGGUGGGUUC